rnacentral:lncRNA from 1 species
UAAGUUUGCAAGGCCAAAAAUUAGUUGGCUUAUUUUCUUUGAUCUCUGUGAAAAGUUCUUCUCAGUACAAAAUGUCCCAGUAAGAAAUAUUUCCACUUUGGAAAGAUGUCUUGACAUGACGUGGAUUAAAACAACUUAAUUUGACUGAGGAUGAUAUCCUUUGGGUUGGAAAAGCGUCUUUCCCCUCCCUAACCAGCUGUGUACCACCCUGUGUGGCUGUUUCUGGGGGGAGCCCUAAUAAUCUCCUGAGCUCCCUCAUUUUUCCAUGCCAGACUGCUGAGCUGGGGCCUGAGCUUGUGUGGGCUCUGACCCAACAGCAGAUGUUUGCCUGGGGCCGUUGGCCUCUUUUCCACGCUUCAAUUUAGAACUCCAGCUUCGCAGGGAGUAAUUGUUUCCUAUCAGUCCUGCCCCAGUUCUAAGCACCGUGGCCGUGCAACUCCCAAGUUGGAGACCUACAUAUUCUCUCACCCCUGUUCCUGAGGAGAAUCCUCGGCCUGGCAGAGGAUGAAAGAGAUGUUUAAGGUUUGCUGUGGUGCUUACGAUGAUCCCGUGCAAUGCCAGGCGGUAGAGCAAUGGAGACUGGUCCUGGACCAGGAGGCAGCCGCUCUGGAAGUCAGGCGUUCACUACACACGGCUGCGGUGAAGACGCACCGGGGACAGUGCUCAGAACUCUACGUGCACAAGGGGACGCACAGCUUUGUCUGCCUAUUGCAGCUUGACAAGAGGAAAAAAAUGUUUCUGAAGAAGCUAGAAAUAAAUGCACCUCAGAGGUAACCGUGCUCAUGGGCGGGUUUUUGUCAUUAACGUGCCUGUGUUUUACUCGUCUUCCUAUUCCAGAUGUUCCUGCGUCCCCUCCUCUGCACAGACUGAUCCCUGCGCGUGUUGGGAGCGUUCCCCUUGGGUUGUUUCCUCCUUUGUUUUGUCUGAGGGCACGUUUUUACAUUUUCUGAUAUUACUUCUUUUACCUGCGAUGCCUUCCCUUUGGACCUACGAAUGCAUCAUCCCAUGAUAAGUGAUACAAGGGUGUUUGUUGUGCAACUCCUGGAACAUAAUGUACAUGAAAGCACUGCAGAGCUUCAUAGAUGUUAGUUAUGGUUAAGAGGCAGAGAAAAAGGGGUGGAGGAGGAAAGGAUAAACCUAGUAUUUGCACAGAAUUGAGCCAGGGUUAGGAUGGAAAAACACAGCACAGGGUUGUGCCCCUCCCAAAGCGUCCAGUCCUGUCCGGUGGGUGUGAACAGCAAUGGGACAGAUGGCACCCGAACAGGAGCAAGCUGGGGGAGGCAGAGCUAGAACUAAGCUCUGGGGAAACUGAGCACACAGAUCAUGUGCUUUCCCAGGUGGGAGAGGAGGGGAGGCAGAGACAGGCUGAGCUCUCCCGGGGAGAGUCUGGACCAGGGUCUUUAAAGGCACAGGAAUCCCUUGCGUGUUAGUUCCAGCAAGGCAGGACUCUUCCCUGCUUCUCUUGUUCAACUCUGAGUCUCUAGUUCCCGAAGAAUAAGGAAGGCCUGGCACUCAGUAGAGGCCUCAGUAUUAGUUGAAGGGAAUUAGAAUGAAUGAUUCACAGGAGUAACACGAGGCUGAGACGGUAAAGCCUGGUGUCUCGGAGACGAGUCACGUGCCAGGGCACCUGCAGGCUCAGAGGUGCGCGGGGUGGACUGGGACAACGGACAGUGAGUGACCCGUAUGAAGAAAGAAACUGGGAAGAACUGACAGACUUUGGCAGGCCGGGUGUGGUGGUGCACACCUGUAAUCCCAGCACUCGGGAGGCUGAGGCAGGAAGAUCGCUGUGAGUUCGAGGCCAGCCUGGGCCACAUAGUGAGUUCCAGGUCAGUCUCAACUACAUAGUGAGACCUUGUCUCAAAAAAAAAAAAAAAGAUAGUCUUUGGCAACCAACCAACUGGGUGCAGCAGACGGAGGGAAGAGAAUAAAAGAACAGAAAGACAGUCACAGGGCCAGGGUCGCCUGCCUGGCAAGAGCAGGGACCUGAGUUCGAUCCCUGGUACCAAAAAAAAAAAAAAAGAUAGUCUUUGGCAACCAACCAACUGGGUGCAGCAGACGGAGGGAAGAGAAUAAAAGAACAGAAAGACAGUCACAGGGCCAGGGUCGCCUGCCUGGCAAGAGCAGGGACCUGAGUUCGAUCCCUGGUACCAAAAAAAAAAAAAAAAAAAAAAGAAAAGAAAGUCACUCAUUCUUCAAGAUAGUCUGAGUUUUCUUCUUGAAGCUGCCCCAGAAUUCUCAAACCUGUGCUGUGCUCCCUCUCCGAACUCAGUUAACACAAAUGAGCGGUACAACCCUGUUGUAGGAGGCAGAGGUAUAUCAGCUGGCAUUAUAACCAGACUUUGUAUGUUUCCCCCACUAGAUUGCAAACUUGUGAAGAUAAGUAUCUCUCUAAUCUGCGCAAAACAGAUACCACACAAUCAGUGUGUAGUCUUUUAGAAGAAACCUGUAAUCUCUGGGGGAAUGCAGCACUUCUGUUUCCUUUUAAAAAUUAUUUCCAGGGCCGGGGAUUUGACUCAGUGGUUCCACUGCCUGCCUCACAAGUGCAAGGACCCAAAUUCGAUCCCCGGCACCAAAAAAUAAAUAAGUAAAUAAUUGUUUCCAUCUUCUGUGUUAGUUGGUCCAGCAAAUGAAGAAGAGGCGGAUCCGGAGAAGCAAUAUUUUCCUCGUGGAAAGCAAAUGACAGCUAUUUAUUAGCAUUGCCAUACGAUAAGGAAUCUCUCUCAUUCACUCAUUUCUUCCUGCUCUUGAUCGUUUGACAAGGGGAGGGCUGUCAGUGUAGCUCAGUGGUACAGCACUUGCCUGGUAUUUGGGAGGUCUUGGAUUCGAUGCCAAUUACUGCAAAAAAGCAAAAAACAAAACCGAAAAACACAAUAGGACAAUAACGUAGCAUAGAGUUUAAAGAGUUAGCAGGGGCUUCGGAUAUUGCUUAUAGUCUUAGAUCUGUCCCUUACUGGCCAUGCUGGUUUGGAAAAGUGAUUUAAGUGCUCUAAAUUCUAAUUUAUCUAUUUGUAAAACAAAGAUAAUAAUGUCUACUUAGGGUACUUACUGUGAUCAGACAGUGUGCCAGGCACUAUCUUUCAAUCCCCAUUUUUUUUUUUUUUUGGUACCAGGGAUCGAACUUCGGUCCUUGCGUUUGCAAGGCAGGUGGCGGAACCACUGAGCUAAAUCCCCGGC